CAAAGAGCAUCGAAGAUGUUUCUAAGUACAUAAGUUAAGGACUCGCUGCAGGUAGAAGUUGAAAUGCACCACAGAGUAGGUGGGCAGGAAGUCCUCUACUUAGUUCAGUUGCCUCCAGAGACACAAUUCCCGGAAAGUCUUGGGAAGAAUGUCCCACCUUGUUCUGUGACUAAUUGGGGAGAACAAACCUUGGCAAAGGGCCAGGUGCACAGAGAGGACCCAAGUAAGAACAGUCAAGCCAGGCAUCCUUCUUUGAAUCAGGAUUAGUUGGAGAAAAGGUGUCAGGAAGAGGUGGAACCACCCAUUCCCCUACUUCCCCCUGGCGAGAGUAAGAAAUGGCAGUGGAUGCUUUCCCAGAGUCUGGAGACCCGGGCUACAUGAAUAGCCUCUAACAGAAAAAUAUCCCCUGGACUAAGAGGCUGAGUCAUGCGCUCAGGUAUGGACUUAGGUAUCUGAGUGCCUACCCCUAAGUGUCCUGUUAUAAACCCAGACACCACUGUCUCUCUGCCCUCUCUGAGCUCACAUUCUAGAAGAUAAGAUUAUUUUCCAUAUUUUCCCCCAAAUUGAAAAUUCAUUCCCAGAGCCAUAUAAUGACAUGGAAGGGCUCACAUAAUUUUCGGGUCUUUUAAAAGGCUUAGUUUAAUGGAUAGUAAAACCUCACACAUUCAACACCUCAUUAAUUCUCAGACAAGCUUGAAAAUUUUGGUAUAACUCAGGAUUUCAGUGUCGUUAGAUUAUAUAAUUUGGGCCUGUUGUGAAUCCAAAUUUUUUCAUCACUUCGCUUCAGUUUUAGCUAUUGAUAUUGGUAUAUCAAUAUUGCUAAUGUACAACAUUAGGAAAUUAAAACUGAUUUUCUUGAAAAAAUUUGCUUUCUGUGAUCUGGGCUUAACUGAUUCAAACAUGGCCUUUCUUGCAUCCAAGUCAGCAGGGUUUUGGGUAAUAAAAUUUGUUGAAAUGAUCAAUUUGGUGAGUUGUCAAAAUACAUGGCACAAGCUUCUUUAAUGUCAUUUUCUGUUUUGUUUUAAAUAUUAGACCCAUAUUUUGUAAAUUAUAAUUGUACUCAUUACUAUUAACUGUAAAUAUUUAUUGCAUUAAAAAUGUGCUCUGUGUUAAAUAACUCAGAACAAGUUCCAGGUGCGGUACUUUGUGUAAACAAUGUCAUGGCUUGGCUUCGCCUAGACUCCUUAGACUAAUGAAUUAUUUAUAAGAAAUUCACAAUAUUAAUAUGAAUGACUCAGAUCCUUUUAAAUGUGCAAACUUAACUGUGUGACCAUGUAAAAUUCUAUGAAAUGUGCUCAGUGAUUGUAUUCUUAUUUUUCAAGAAAUGUUUCCAAUGCUUCUAUCACGUUGUACUUGGUCUGUAUGACAUUAAGUCAAAUCCCAUGUAGUAAGCUGAAUAGUCAAGUUGUAGAAGAUAAGAAAUGUGUUUUAUUUCUUAAUAUAAUAAAGCAUAAUUUAUGAAAUGGA
rnacentral:lncRNA from 1 species